CUAAGCGUCCAUCGCCUAAGCGUCGUCCAUCGCUGAUUAAGAAAAAGAAGGAAUGAGUUAAUAUUUCUACCCAGAUAUACAUUUUUCAAAGUUCUUUUUUUUUUUACUUUCUUUUUGGGAUAGUAGAUUUUUUUCAAAAUUCAUUAGGCUGUACACAACAACUAAUGUAAGCAUUUAAUAUAUCUAUGGCUCACGUGGCUCUACUUUUUG
rnacentral:lncRNA from 1 species